UACGGGGGGGGCAAGCGUUGUUCGGAAUUACUGGGCGUAAAGGGCUUGUAGGUGGCCAACUAAGUCAGACGUGAAAUCCCUCGGCUUAACCGGGGAACUGCGUCUGAUACUGGAUGGCUUGAGUGUGGGAGAGGGAUGCGGAAUUCCAGGUGUAGCGGUGAAAUGCGUAGAUAUCUGGAGGAACACCGGUGGCGAAGGCGGCAUCCUGGACCGGUAUUGACGCUGAUGCGCGAAAGCCAGGGGAGCAAACGGG
rnacentral:rRNA from 1 species